AUCGAACGCUAGCGGGAUGCCUUACACAUGCAAGUCGAACGGAGUGGCGAACGGGUGAGUAAUGUAACGGAACGUGCCCCGUAGCGGGGGAUAACUACGCGAAAGCGUAGCUAAUACCGCAUACUAUUGGAGCGGCUGAUAUGGGAUUAGCUAGUUGGUGGGGUAACGGCUCACCAAGGCGACUAUCCGUAACUGGUUUGAGAGGACGACCAUCCACACUGGGACUGAUACACGGCCCAGACUCCAACGGAAGGCAGCAGUGGGGAAUUUUGGACAAUGGGGGAAACCCUGCUCCAGCCAUCCCGGGUAUGCGAUGAAGUCCUUCGGGUUGUAAAGCACUUUGGGCAAGAAGGCGGUACCUGCAGAGUAAGCACCGGCUAACUACGUGCCAGCAGCCGCGGUAAUAC
rnacentral:rRNA from 1 species